rnacentral:rRNA from 1 species
GUCUUGGAACACGGACCAAGGAGUUGACCUAGCGUGCGAGUGUUUGGGUGCAAAGCCCUUACGCGCAGUGAAAGCGAAUGCAGGUGGGAGCUUCGGCGCACCAUCGACCGAUCCUGAAGUUUACGGAUGGAUUUGAGUAAGAGCACGUUGGGUCUGACCCGAAAGAAGGUGAACUAUGCCUGUAUAGGGUGAAGCCAGAGGAAACUCUGGUGGGGGCUCGUAGCGGUUCUGACGUGCAA